GUGCUUGCUUUAGCAGCACAUAUACUAAAAUUGGAAUGAUACAGAGAAGAUUAGCAUUGCCCCUGUGUAAGGAUGAUUGAGGAAAUAACAACUGAAAACUUUC
rnacentral:snRNA from 1 species